rnacentral:rRNA from 1 species
UGCAGUCGACGAUGAAAUCACUUCGGUGGUGGAUUAGUGGCGAACGGGUGAGUAACACGUGGGCAAUCUGCCCUUCACUCUGGGACAAGCCCUGGAAACGGGGUCUAAUACCGGAUACCACUUCGUCCCGCAUGGGACGGGGUUGAAAGCUCCGGCGGUGAAGGAUGAGCCCGCGGCCUAUCAGCUUGUUGGUGGGGUAAUGGCCUACCAAGGCGACGACGGGUAGCCGGCCUGAGAGGGCGACCGGCCACACUGGGACUGAGACACGGCCCAGACUCCUACGGGAGGCAGCAGUGGGGAAUAUUGCACAAUGGGCGAAAGCCUGAUGCAGCGACGCCGCGUGAGGGAUGACGGCCUUCGGGUUGUAAACCUCUUUCAGCAGGGAAGAAGCGCAAGUGACGGUACCUGCAGAAGAAGCGCCGGCUAACUACGUGCCAGCAGCCGCGGUAAUACGUAGGGCGCAAGCGUUGUCCGGAAUUAUUGGGCGUAAAGAGCUCGUAGGCGGCUUGUCACGUCGGAUGUGAAAGCCCGGGGCUUAACCCCGGGUCUGCAUUCGAUACGGGCUAGCUAGAGUGUGGUAGGGGAGAUCGGAAUUCCUGGUGUAGCGGUGAAAUGCGCAGAUAUCAGGAGGAACACCGGUGGCGAAGGCGGAUCUCUGGGCCAUUACUGACGCUGAGGAGCGAAAGCGUGGGGAGCGAACAGGAUUAGAUACCCUGGUAGUCCACGCCGUAAACGUUGGGAACUAGGUGU